GACGAACGCUGGCGGCGUGCUUAACACAUGCAAGUCGAACGGUGAAAGCGGAGCUUGCUCCGCUGGAUCAGUGGCGAACGGGCGAGUAACACGUGGGCAACCUGCCCCUCACUUCGGGAUAACUCCGGGAAACCGGGGCUAAUACCGGAUAUGACCUCCUUGGGCAUCCUUGGAGGUGGAAAGUUUUUCGGUGAGGGAUGGGCCCGCGGCCUAUCAGCUUGUUGGUGAGGUAGUGGCUCACCAAGGCGACGACGGGUAGCCGGCCUGAGAGGGCGACCGGCCAAACUGGGACUGAGACACGGCCCAGACUCCUACGGGAGGCAGCAGUGGGGAAUAUUGCGCAAUGGGCGAAAGCCUGACGCAGCAACGCCGCGUGCGGGAUGACGGCCUUCGGGUUGUAAACCGCUUUCAGCAGGGAAGAAGCCGCAAGGUGACGGUACCUGCAGAAGAAGCACCGGCUAACUACGUGCCAGCCGCCGCAGUAA
rnacentral:rRNA from 1 species